CCUACGGGAGGCAGCAGUGAGGAAUAUUGGUCAAUGGACGAGAGUCUGAACCAGCCAAGUAGCGUGAAGGAUGACUGCCCUAUGGGUUGUAAACUUCUUUUAUAUGGGAAUAAAAUGUUCCACGUGUGGGAUUUUGUAUGUACCAUAUGAAUAAGGAUCGGCUAACUCCGUGCCAGCAGCCGCGGUAAUACGGAGGAUCCGAGCGUUAUCCGGAUUUAUUGGGUUUAAAGGGAGCGUAGGUGGGUUGUUAAGUCAGUUGUGAAAGUUUGCGGCUCAACCGUAAAAUUGCAGUUGAUACUGGCAGUCUUGAGUACAGUAGAGGUAGGCGGAAUGCGUGGUGUAGCGGUGAAAUGCUUAGAUAUCACGAAGAACACCGAUGGCGAAGGCAGUUCACUGGACUGCAACUGACACUGAGGCUCGAAAGUGUGGGUAUCAAACAGGAUUAGAUACCCGUGUAGUC
rnacentral:rRNA from 1 species